GGCUCAGCCCAGCGGCCUGGCACGGGGAUGGGGCACCUGUGCAGGUGCAGAGGGGAGGUGUGCGGCUGUGCUCCGCGCGUCCGGCACUUAAAAGCAAGAAGGCAGCGUGCCUAACGGGAUGCAUCGACUCGAAACGGGACGUGGUUGUUCUCCCACAUCCGUUUAAUUUUUGUAUUGCUUUGCUCGAAGUUAUUGUCUUCACAUAAGAGCGGUCCUCUGGUGGCUUUUCCCUUCUCGUCGCAGAUCUGGCAGCUCCCGUGAUCUCGAAAUGUCACCACAUGUUCUGAAUUGUGGGGCUCUGAAAUGACUGUGGCUUUGCGUGUAGUCAGUGUUCCAAAUAAGCAUUCAGUCUCAGCAAUACCAAAUAAAACACACGGCUCCCAACUGCACGGAGUGGAUUAAAGAUGAGAAAGCGACCAAUACUUGCGGCUUCUCUGUUCCCACAAUUCUAUUUAUAUUUCUUAAAAGGGAACUUCCAUCUCUCAAUGAGCUAAUACAAGUGCCCCAGUACCGAAAUACAGAGCAACAAAUGAGAAACAAAAGCGAAACCAUAACACAGAGCGCAUCCUAUGCUGUGAAUACCGUGCUGUGAGCUGGAUUUCAUACACUGGAAUAUCCUAUUUCCUUCAUUGGGACUUUCAUUUGCAGUAGGUGAAAUGAAAGAUCUGCAUGAAGCCACACAGGUGUUGUAUCCCACAUAAGUGUCACCAAAUCAGGCACUUCCAUGAGGUUCUACUGCUCUUCUCUAUGUAGGAUCACUUCUUUUAGGGUAAUGCUGCCUGAGGUGUCGCUGGGACUUCCUUUGGAUGAGGACUGCCAGCUGACUCUAUCUUUACAUCUUACCCAACUGGCUGAAGCCAGACUUAAUAUGAGAAGCACCUUAUAGCAGAUUUCAUCUUGAAGAACACAGGUCACUUUGGCAUCUGUCAGCUGGAGGAUAAGAAGUUUUUCUCCCCCACCUCAAAAGGUGAAGGUAAGGCUGGGGUCCCAUAUGAGAUGUGGAAGAAAGGUAUAGGACUCUGUAGCCUAGAUUGCGUGUGUCUGGAGUGCAGUGCCCCUGAAUGUCCCUUUGAAAGGCAGAGGAUGAGCCUGAUGCUGAUACUUCUGUUUGGCUCUUACUGAAGUGGGAAGAUGUUCUCCAUUCAACAGUGAGCUGGGAAUUAAGGUCAGGAUUUUAUAGAUAUCCUAAAUUUCACAUGGUCAAGCUCAGCCCUGACAGCACUCCUCACCAACACCUGACAACUCACAGAGGUAAUCACUGUGCACAGAUUCCAAACCUGCAAUGGUUUCUCUCACCCUGUUGCUCCUUUUCUAUGUUAAGGGAGAGAAGGACAGUUCUGGGCACAUU